UCUGGAGACAGGUGCUGCAUGGCUGUCGUCAGCUCGUGUCGUGAGAUGUUGGGUUAAGUCCCGCAACGAGCGCAACCCUUGCCUUUAGUUGCCAGCAGUUCGGCUGGGCACUCUAAAGGGACUGCCGGUGUUAAACCGGAGGAAGGUGGGGAUGACGUCAAGUCCUCAUGGCCUUUAUGACCAGGGCUACACACGUACUACAAUGGCCGAUACAAAGGGCAGCGACACUGCGAAGUGAAGCCAAUCCCGUAAAAUCGGUCUCAGUCCGGAUUGGAGUCUGCAACUCGACUCCAUGAAGUUGGAAUCGCUAGUAAUCGUGGAUCAGCAUGCCACGGUGAAUACGUUCCCGGGCCUU
rnacentral:rRNA from 1 species